AUAAGCAGAGGCUUAAGUGAUCAGCUCUUCAGAUGUUAUUUCUGCUCUUGAAGUGAUCAGCUCUGUUCAGCCCAGCCAGCUCCAUUCAUGGACAAGAGACAGGACAUCAUGUGGCAUUCUGCAGAAAGGCUUUAUUGCAAGCUUCAACAAAGGGGGGCAGUGAUGACCUAACCACUGAACUGGGAAAAAGCUGGGUUUUUAUUGGGAAGGGAAGAAUUGGAAAGAGGACCAAUAGUUAACAGGAAGAUAGCAUGGGGUUCUGAAGCAGGAAGGGGUUCACAGCUUAGUCACCAUGACUAGGCAGUUUUGUCUUAUCUUAGGGGGCAGAUCUCCAGGGAGGAAUCCUGUCAAAGGACAGGGCUUCCUCCACAGAUGGAAAUUUAGCAAGGUAAAGAAGGGGAAAGAAUAUUUUACAGGAACAGAAGAAAGAAACACUACUUUGCACCAUGAUUAUCCCAAAAAUCUAACUCGGACAGAAGAGCACAACAUCUACCAGAUAACAGGCAAUGUUAACUGAUGGUAAACUCAGACUCUCUUCUUUUCCUUGAAAUGUCUUCAAGAAGAACUGAGUAUUGCUUGGAAAAUGGCACUGAAGAUGUCCUAUGAAGCUGAUUUCACAGAAAACUCACAGUAAGCCCCACAGAACUGUGUAAAGUAGAAAAAAGGAUGACAAAAGGAGGAGAUGAUUCAAGAUUCAAGAAAAUACUAAUCAUCUUAUUCAGAACGGUAUUUAAAGAUCUAAGAAAAUGGGCAGGCUAGUGUCUUCAUUCAGUUGAAUGAAUCUCCAAAUUCAACUUCUGUCUUUGGCUAUUUUAUAUUUUUGGAGUGAUAUUUUUGGAGGCUUAGGAUUGAGAAAUCAUAUGAAAACACAACUGGGAGUAGUACUACUGUAGUAUUUUGAAAUGAAUUAAUAUGCAUGAAAAAAUCAACAGCCUAGAAACAAAAAAGCUGGGUGUGCAGCUGCACUGUCAUUACCCAAAUGGACAGAGAAAUGAACGUCUGCCAAAGCAAAAUAAGCUCCAUGGCAAUGUGACACUUUUACAAAGCAUAAACCUCCCUGGAGCAGCAAAAAAAAAUAGUACUGAAACAGACUCUAAUCAAGAAAAAGUUAUUUUAUUACUCCAGUAAAUUUCUUACCGGCAUUAAUAAAUGCUAGGAAGAUUCCCUAGCACCAUCUUUUAACAAAUACUGACUGUUACUUUUGAUCAGGUGAAAUGGGACAUAUAUCCACUGCCUAAAAAGGCUUAUCAAGCUCCAACUUAGAAAGUCCUUUCCAUUUCACUAACUUGGGAACUCAACUCUCAAUUAUCCUUUGGCUGACUGGGAAGGACAAGUGGGGGGAAAGCAGUGUGAGUUUCACUACAAGCCAGAUGAAAAAACUUGGAAAAAUUAGGUCAGGUUUGGAAACAAGUUAGCUCAGAAGCUUUCUGUACCUCUAGUCACAUCUCUGCUUCAGCUUUUAUACCUGUAGAAUAAAAAUAAUUUUACUUUGACAUAUAUUAUGUUAAAAAAAAAAAAAAAAAGACAACAACCAUGUCUGCUCUGUCUUUUUGUUAGUUUCCAAACAAUUAGACUGACCAUCUUCUUGUGAAAGGGGGUGAACCCCCAUCAGUGUUCACACAGCCUUGGAAAUGCAGAGGGUGCUCUCAGUAUUACAGCCCACAGACAGAUGACUGUCCUCUCUUCUGGACAGUUUGAUUUUAUCCUUUUUUGUGUCUAUCCAAAGGUGAUACCAAAAUGUGUGAGGCUACUUUCACAAGCAGCAGUUAAGCUCUUGCUUAUGGGAGCCAAGUAUUUGUGCUGUCUGUGCUCACAAUAACCUCGCCUAUAAUGAAGCAUCUUUGCAGCACCUUCUUUAAUCAAUGGACAUCUGAAACAGAGCUCAGUCAAUUAGGACACUGUCCUCUAAUGCCUGCUGAGUCCUUUGUCUGCCAAUGAAUCACCGGUCCCUGAUGAUUUCUCAUUUAAAGGUCAAAUCUGCUAUGAAGGACAGAUAGAAACCAUCUGGCUUUCCUGUAGAAAAAUAAAAAGCUUUUUCUGUUAGGAGGUGACAAUGCUGAAUCCAUUAGCUACAUCUGAAGAGUGAUGGUGCACCUCUUCCUUACGCAAAACUGACUACAUAAUUGACUCCAGAUUUUAGUCAUUACUACUUACAAUUUAUAGCACUGGCUAAUUUUACAAAGCCCAACAAUUAGCAAUUAGCACUGCAGCUGUGCUGGAAAUGGAAAAGCAAGGAGCAGUGGCAGGAAAAAAGUGAGUGCAGUGAUACCUUCAUUGUAUUAUCAGUUAAGCAUUGACAAAUCAAUGUAACGAUUUCAGCCCAGCCUUUUUCCUGAAAUCUGACAAAUGGAAAAGCAUAUGUAAAAAGUGGAAAAUUUAGAGACAAUUAUCUCAGGGGCCAGAGAAAGGAAGACACAAACUGAGGAGAAUCCUCUUCUACCUUUCAAUUUAAUUCCAUUUUGUGACAUUUUUGAGCCAGGUUUUCAGAAAAGCCUAAAUCAGAGAGUGGCAGUAGGAGAUGGUGUCAUGAACCGUGAGGUGAAGUACACUAUACUGACAGCUCUCUUUAUAAAUACUGAGAGGACAAAAGGAGAUUAAAGGAUCAAAAAGACUACUAACUUUAAGCUUUGCAGUUACUUUUUCUUGUCAAAAACUGACAAGGUUUUUAUUAUAAAACUAAACAUCAAGAACCUGAAAAGGGUUUCUCCAGGUUUGAGGAUGGAGACAAUUUUGUGCAGUUGGUAAUCCUGUUUUCCGGGUUUUCCUACAGGGAACGUAGUGAUCAAAACUGGAAUGAGGGAAGUAAGUCAGUAAGCUUUUUCUUGCAACUAUGGAGUACUAGGCUUUUUUUCCAUAAAUACUGGGUAAACUCACUGAGUGAUAUUCUGUAUAUCCACUGUAUACCCACUGCAAGCAGACAGCUGGUUCAGAAACCCAUUUUCCAUACACUCUUCAAGAACAGUUUGCAACUUCAAACAAGGCUUUGUUUGUUUUCAAGUCAAUGCUUAUUUUCACUUAUUUUCAGUCCAAUUUUAGCUGUGAGAAUGCACAGGUUAAGAUCAGCACUGAUUUAAUUUCUAAAAAAAAAAAAAAAAAAGUUACGCAAAGCAAGUAGGAAGGCACUGCCAAAUUUGAUUUGAUGUGCUCUAAAUUUGUAUCUUCAGAUGAAGCCAUAGGGAGUUUGUUUCUUUUCUUGCUAGCUAGAAAAAAUUAUCCCCAUUGCCAUCUUCCUUUGGUAAGUUAAUCAGUUUGUGUAGUUUGCUCUCCUUUUGAACAAUAAGAUUGUGGAAGUUCCUUCAAGCAGGACAGGCAAAGAGCAGCCAGAUGUACGUAGACCAUCCUGUGCCAAUAAACCAUGUCAAAGAGGUGCAAUCUAUACUUAUUUUACAGAAUGUUGUACAUGAUAUGAGCUACUGUUCCAAUUUUUCCUUUGAUCUGUAUUUCUCCCAAGACAUUUCACAACUUUUGGACAGAAAGAACACUUGGACAAUACACCUUGUGUUAGAUUUUAAGCUUGAUUAUACAAUUGCAUUGUCUCAGUGAGCUCGCUGGGAUGUCCCACUGUUAUUAGAUAGUAGAGGAUAAUUUGGAAAAAAAACAAACCCAACCAGUCUGAGUCUGCCUUUGUUCCUCAGGUUAGUAGCUAUAUUCUUUAAGAAUAUUUCCCACGCUCAGAUUUUUCUAAGAGGUCUCAUUUAACAUAUCAGUAUGAAAUUCUUGGAAAAAAAGUAAUUACAACUCAAAAUAAUCCAAGGCCUCACAGAAGAGGACAUGUUUUACUGAAGUUUCUUAAUGAUCUUAUUUGGUUUCAUUCUAUGACUGAAAGUAAGAAAGUCCUUCCAACAUCUUCUCUUAACUACUCUAACUAGUGAGCAUCCCAUUAUCAAACACCUAUACAUUACAGGAAAUGCAAGAGACAAUAAAACAAAUCAAGACAUGGAAAAUUGAAGUAGUAUUCUUUAUUUUAUUUCAACUUAUUUUAUUCUAGCCAUCAUUACCAUAUAGUAGAUGCAGAUUUUAUUUUUAUUUAGAAUAUGUGCAUGAUUACUAAAAUCAAACCUUCAUUCUGGGUCUAAGACUGCCGUAGAUUAUUUGCUGAAAGUUUAGGAAACUGGAACACAAAAAUUAUUUCUGAAUGCAGUUUUUACACCUUUCUGUAACCAGCAGGCAGACACACCCUGCAAAUCCCUUCCUGCCCACUGGUGGCACAGGAUGUCCCUUUGUGAAGACAAAGUUUAGACUGGGAGUUCAGGGACUGUCUAACAUUGCAAUGCUUUCACUAUGAGGAAGCAGAAUUGUGGCCAUUAAAGAAAAGUCAUUCUUUAGCAAUAACGUUUAGAAUAAUUCAUGCCUACUUCAAAACAGCAGUAUAGCUACACCUACGGAAAAGUUCCAGUCAAAGAUCUUUAUGCCAAACAAAUUGUUUGACAAAAUAAUUGCAGUGUUGUAUUUCAAUAUGCAUUGUAAGAUAUAUAAUAUAUAUACUACUUCAGUAAGCAUUCCUUUGUUUUACAAAAAAGGAAAUUACUCUCCUUGCAGUUUAAUCAUCAAACUAGUAUUCUGAAUAAUCUUCAAAUUUAGAUAAAGCUAACCUAUUGUGUGGCCUGUAAGCCCAAAGCCUGACUUGCUCCAGGCCCUUAAUGCAAAAGAAGGGCUCUACAGGUAAGUGAGCAUAAGUGUUGCCACUACAGCCCCAAUGAGGAAAAUGCUGGCUAUGAACUUCACCUCUACUCUUCACCAGGACACCUUCUUAGAUACAAAAACAUUUGUAAAUCUCCACCUUUGUCUUCUGUAAAAGUGGCUAUUGACUUGUCUCACAUAUCAAAGGUAAUUUGAUUUUGCAGGUCAGUCCAAAAUGGAUCUUCACCUAAUUUGAGUCUGUUGAAAUAUAUAUGGAUUUUUUGUUAAAGCUUUAAGGAAAAAAUAAAAAUCAAUUGAGAUGCUGAAAGCAUUUAUUCAAUUUUUCUACAACAAGGUACAGUAUUACCUUGUUAAAUGACUGAAUCAAAUUGCCACUCACCCCAAGAGAGGGAAGGCACCUUGUCCCUUUUUUUAUUAGCUCUAACAAAGCUUAUAACUGAUUUCAGAUGGGCUAAUGGGUAUUUAAUACCCCAAACAACUUUUCUAGCACAUUAUUUUACAAAAAACCCCAAACAACAAUGAUCUAUUCAUUGUUAUAUACCAGGUUUAGAUGAUUCUGAUACUAGCCCAUUUAAAGGUAUUUUGUGGUUUAUCUUUUUUAAAGUAAAACAAUAAAAUGAAAAAUUGAGAAGUAAAGAAAACAAUUACUUUUUUUUACAGGAGCUUUGAAUAUUGUCAUAAGCGUCCAGUAGAUCAUAAUACCAACAACUGCUUUAUGGAAGGCUCCUCUCCUUACCCACUCUUUAGGGAUUCCAGAAUGAUGUAUUAUUUUUACAGAAAUUUAAAGAGUAUAUUUAAAGGAUAACUUUGAACCAAAAAGACCAAACUGUCUCAAACAAGAGUCAGAAACAGCUGAGAUGUCAAGAAGAGAAACAAGCAAAAAACCCAAAAACAAAAACACAAAAAAAAAACCCAAAAAACCCACCAGAAAACAAACCUUGAGAGAGUUGAACAAUUUGGCUAUCUUCCUGACAAUACUUUAAUCUGCAGGCUUUGUUUUCUGAAGGAAAAAACAAGCACACUAUAACUUAGAAGAACCUGGGGAAGUAGGAUCUUUCCCUCCCAAAGUGAUUUGCAUUCCUUAUCAGAAACACUUGUCUUACUGCUUCAGUUCUAAUUGCUUUCACAUUUUAAAGCCUCUGUGAAUGGACAGCCUGGAAUUCCCCAGUAAAAGUCACAGUCCACCAAGCUGCAGCACUGUCAGAGCUCAGGAUCCCAGUAACUAAAGUGCGCAUUUGAUCUAACAGUGUAUCUGUCAUGUAACAAUGAAGCUCGUUUUCUUUUCAUGCAAUAAAAGCACUGAUAUUUCCAUUUUGUAAUGAGCUUUAGAAGUAACCACACAUGGAUCUAAUUCAGAAUUCAGGUGGUCUGAGCAUGCACUGCUAACACCACAUUUGGGUUUGAACCCACACGGACUCACUUAAGAGCUGGACUUGAUGAUCCUUUUUGGAUCUUUUUGGGUCUUUUGCAACCCAGAAUACUCAGUGGUUCUGAAUUUUCUUUUAGAUUUUGCUGGUUUCCAUGAUCUCCAAAUGUAUGCAAUACUGUCAGGCUCUACAUAAUCUCAGUUUUUAAUUAUUGUACAUAAGUGAACUGUAACUUACUUCUCAGUUGUAGAAAAGACCUUCUAGUUUUCAAUCCUGUAUUUUGAUUUGUUAAUUCAAUAAAACUAUAUUGGAAAGUUACAGAGAGUAAAAAGGAGUUUUACAAGUGUCUGAAAUACACAAUUAUUGCUAUAUUAAAACCAUCCUUUACAAGUAUUUUACAGAACCCAACAUCCUAUUAUCAUGAAUUACUGAAAGCAUAUACCCUUGGACAGCAUUUCUAGUGAGUUUUCCACCAUAAAAUGCAAUGCCAAGAUACUAAUAAGAAACAAGGGUAUUGCAUGUUAAUUAGCAGCAAGCAGCAGAAGACUCUUUGUAAAAAAUAUUAUAGCUGACAAGAACACAUUCACGGCAAGGAUGAACAACACUGUUACACAAUCAACCUGGCCUAGUGGAAGUGGCCCAUGGCAAAGGGAUGGAAUGAGAUCAUCUUUAAGAUCUCUUCCAGCCCAAGUCAUUCUGGGAUUCUUGUGAUCUAAUGACAGGGAACCCUGUAAUGACCAGUAAUGAUUAAGAUUAAAAUGUGUCAUAAGUCUCAAAAUUAUUGGUGCAAACCUUAAACAACAAGCACUUCUUAAGUUCAAUGAAACCACUAGUUUCAGUUCCUGAUGACUGUUUCAGUCAAGCACAAACUUGCCCAAAUUAACCCCUGCUCUACAUGUUGAUGCAUAUUUCAAAUUUAUUAGGAUUUAUGGUGCAUUUAUUAGCAGACUUUACAAUCUAAAAGAAAUACCCCCUCCUUACUGUGUAACUCAUGUUUCCAAUAGGUAGGCAGAGCCAAAUGCAUCUUCUUCAUAAAGAUGGAAUUUUUAAGAUAGGGCUUGCAUACUGUUUGGAAGGUCUCUUCCUUGAAAAGAAGACGCCUCUACAGAAGUGUAGUUACUUCCAGAACUUGGCAGGAACCAUCCCAGUUGCCUACUUUAGUCUUUUAUCUCCCAUAUUCUAUAUAAGUCACCUACUCAAUCUGUAGGGCAUUAGGGACAGAGGUGAGGUUAAAGUACUGAUAAGACGAAAUAAUUUGCUGUCAUUUUAUCAGGAAAACAGCUGAGUGGAGGGAAGAUUGUCAUCUUUACCAUGAAACACAGCACCUGUGAUUAGCUUAGCUUCCUGAAUAUGAAACUGAACAGCUGCAAGAACUCUUUGUAUUGAUUUGAAACCAGGAAACUCUAAAUAGAAAUGCUUGGAUCCAUGAAGAUAAAAUUCUGAAUCUCUGCUAUCAAAGCUUAUUGAAAACAGUGAAGAAUAGCCUGAGAGGCAAUCCACUGUUCGAAUAGAAAUUACACUAAACUUAUUUCCAUUGGAAAUACAGGCUCCACAAAGUCUUUUGGGGAAUUAAAAGAGAGUCCUUCACUAUAAAUCAGGUUAUAAAAACCCCAACAUUUGUCUAAAACGUAAGCGUAAUGAAAUCUAGAUGGAGAUGUAGCCAGUAUUUUUCAUGUCAACUAUUGCUCAAACACCCAAUGGAAAAGAAUGACUGUAGGAGUAAAACAGGUUCACAGUGGAGACUUCUCUGAGCCAGGCUGCUCUUGGGAUAAGGAGUUUAUUAUUUAAGUAGAAGGUGGAAGAGAUCCAUUUAUGCUGCCAGCCACAGCAUAAAUGUGCUCAAACAGGGAGAUAGAGUGGAAAGAGGGGUCCGAGAGCAUGAGAGCAGUCGGCAAUUGAGGGGGUAGAGAGAGAGGGGCAAGAGGGGGGGAAUUAAGAGAUAAAAGUUCUUGUUACAAUAUCUUUUUCUAUGGUGAAUAUUCUAAUUCCCAGUAACCAACCAGGACAUGACACACAUUCUAUAGAAUUUACAUAUAGCCUAUAAGAACUACUACAUUACCAUACAGUGUUAUAUUUCAAACUCUAAAAGCUAUUCUUCAAAUUCUUCUCUUGCUGCUUCCACCUUUGGAUUCACUGUCAGCAUUUGGGUAUUGUUCAGUCAAUAGGGAUUCUCCUUCAGCUGGCUAGGCUAUUGUUCUUUGGUUAUAUAGUAACUAACACUCAGCAGAACUAGUUUUCAUUUCUUUUUCGAUUAUAGGUUUCAUAUUUUCAGAAUCUUCUGCUAAACAAUCAUAUUUAUAAGGUUUCCCUGUUUCAUCUUCUCCAACAAAUGACUUAAGCUGGUAUAAAGGAUAAAGUUAGAAUUACGGGAGACUGACACAUAAGGUCUGCCUUCACAAUGAACAAAAAUUUCUUGUUGAUGAAGAUAUACCUACCGAUACAGCCUACUGGUUUUAAAUCUUCCAUAGACUAGUUUUAUAACUAAAAGAAGACUGGUUUUAUAAAACCAUCCAUGAUUUAAAGGUUUCUAGACUAGAUAGAACAAUCUUUCAUGAUACAGUUAGUGCUGACUGCCUCUCUCCUAAGUUUGAUGGAAGGUGGAAACACUGUUUUUAGCUAAAAUACCCACUGAAACAGAGUGUUAGAGCACAGUUGCAUGGAUGAUAAGAAGCCAUUCUGCAUUCAUGGGCACAUCUGCUAAGUGCUCUCCAAGUACACUCUCCUGUCUUUAAUGAUUCUAGAAAUUGCUCAAAGCUUAUAAAACGAAGCAAGUAUUUUCAGGUGAGAGACAAAUAAGUCAUCAUCACAAGUGACUGAAAAUUUCAUAAUGAGAUGCCCCGGGUUACUGAAAGACAAUGAAAGCUUCACAGUUACCUUUUUUACAGUCUUGUCAGGUUCAAGAGCAAUAUCUGGAAUGUUUGCAUCCACCAUGAGUGAGAAUAAAUUCAAGAUCAAGUUGGAAUACCUAAGCAGAAGAACAAACUAUUAAAACACUUUGUAAAUUGUACAGAAGACAUUUUGUAAACAACUUAAUUUAAGAACCCAUCAUCAUCUUAUGAAGAACUUUUAAUGCUUCAAAGAUCCAUUUUUAAUACUAAUUGAAAGCAUUUAUAUUGAAGAACACAAGAUACUGAUAUUAACUAUCAAAGUUUAACCUUCAAAAUCCUUCAAACUGCCAAAACUGUAAAUAAAAUGCUCUGAUUUUGUUACAACUUUC